rnacentral:rRNA from 1 species
UACGUAGGGUGCGAGCGUUGUCCGGAAUCAUUGGGCGUAAAGCGCGCGUAGGCGGCCCGGUAAGUCCGCUGUGAAAGUCAAAGGCUCAACCUUUGAAUGUCAGCGGAUACUGCCGGGCUAGAGUCCGGAAGAGGCGAGUGGAAUUCCUGGUGUAGCGGUGAAAUGCGCAGAUAUCAGGAGGAACACCGAUGGCGAAGGCAGGUCUCUGGGCAUUAACUGACGCUGAGGAGCGAAAGCAUGGGGAGCGAACAGG